UACGGAGGGUGCAAGCGUUGUUCGGAAUCACUGGGCUUAAAGCGCGUGUAGGCGGAGUGCUUAGUGCUUUGUGAAAGCCCCCGGCUCAACCGGGGAAUUGCUUGGCAAACGGGCAUUCUUGAGGCAAGUAGAGGUCACUGGAACGACUGGUGGAGCGGUGAAAUGCGUAGAUAUCAGUUGGAACGCCGGAGGCGAAAGCGGGUGACUGGGCUUGUCCUGACGCUGAGACGCGAAAGCGUGGGUAGCAAACAGG
rnacentral:rRNA from 1 species